rnacentral:tRNA from 1 species
GACUUCUUGGCGCAAUUGGUAGCGCGUCAGAUUCCAAAUCUGAAGGUUGGGAGUUCGAGUCUCUCAGAGGUCA